UGGUCCCUACGGGACGCAGCAGUGAGGAAUAUUGGUCAAUGGGCGCAAGCCUGAACCAGCCACGUCGCGUGAGGGAAGACGGCCCUACGGGUUGUAAACCUCUUUUGCCGGGGAGCAAGCCUAAGCACGUGUGCCCAGGCGGAGAGUACCCGGAGAAAAAGCAUCGGCUAACUCCGUGCCAGCAGCCGCGGUAAUACGGAGGAUGCGAGCGUUAUCCGGAUUUAUUGGGUUUAAAGGGUGCGCAGGCGGGCUGUUAAGCCGGCGGUCAAAAUUC
rnacentral:rRNA from 1 species